GACGAACGCUGGCGGCGUGCUUAACACAUGCAAGUCGAACGGAAAGGCCCUGCUUUUGUGGGGUGCUCGAGUGGCGAACGGGUGAGUAACACGUGAGUAACCUGCCCUUGACUUUGGGAUAACUUCAGGAAACUGGGGCUAAUACCGGAUAGGAGCUCCUGCUGCAUGGUGGGGGUUGGAAAGUUUCGGCGGUUGGGGAUGGACUCGCGGCUUAUCAGCUUGUUGGUGGGGUAGUGGCUUACCAAGGCUUUGACGGGUAGCCGGCCUGAGAGGGUGACCGGCCAAAUUGGGACUGGGAUACGGCCCAGACUCCUACGGGGGGAAGGAGGGGGGAAUUUUGCACAAGGGGGGGAAGCCUGAUGCAGCAACGCCGGGGGGGGGAUGCGGGCCUUCGGGUUGUAAACCGCUUUCGCUGGUGACGAAGGGUGGGUGGCGGUAAUGGGUAAAGAAGCACCGGCUAACUACGU
rnacentral:rRNA from 1 species